UCUCACUGAUACUCUUUCUCUCUCCUUCGAUCUGCGAUCUCCCUCAAACCCUCAACCCUUCGAUCUCAUUUUUUUAAAAAAAAUUUCCACAUACUCUUUCUCUCUCCUUCGAUCUCCCUCAAACCCUCAACCCUCAAACCUUCGAUCUCCUUCACUCUCAUAUAUUUUUUUAACUUUUCAGAUUUUGUGAUUUUAAUUUCUUUCAAAUUCAAGGUUUCGUUUGAUUUACCAGUUUUUCUGCAAUUUUUAGUUUAAUUCGAGUUCAAUUGGAGUAUAAAUUUGGUCCGCCGACCUCGCCCAGACAUCUUCGCGAGCACAUACCCUAAAUUUCUCGCUUUCAAAGAGGCUUUGAGUUGUGAUUGGAUUGCCGAAUUUCUCCAAGAAGAAAAGUGCGGAGAAUAAAUGGACUUUGCAGAAGGAUGGACUUUAAGGUCGUCAGAUUACCGACACUUUGAAGAAAGCUGCUUUAAACCUGCAAUGCAGGGCUGUGACAUGAUUGGUCGUGCGAGGACAGGAACUGGGAAGACCCUUGCGUUUGGAAUCCCAAAAUUGGAUAAGAUUACACGCCAUAAUGCAAAGAAGGGAUGACACAAAUGAGGGGAACUUGAGAGUACCUUGCACCUGCAAAGAAGGCUAAAUAAUAUGUUGCUGCAGUAAGGAAGGCUGAGGCACA